rnacentral:rRNA from 1 species
UGGUGGAGUGAUUUGUCUGGUUAAUUCCGAUAACGAACGAGACUCUGUCCUGCUAACUAGGUUGUGUUUUCUCGGGUUGGUGUUUCUGGUGUUCCUUCUCGGGGCGCCGGCCCAAUCCACUUGUGAACACAACACUCUUCUUAGAGGGACUGGCGGCUGUUAGCCGCAUGAGAUAGAGCAAUAACA